GCUCGGAGCGCCGGCUCCCUGGGCCUUCGGCUUGUUCGUCUGAGCAGCUGGUUCCCGGAGCCGGUGAGCCUCCUGGAGGGAUUUGACUGGACUCAAAGCCCCGGAAAGUCACCCGGCUUCGGGGCCCCAACCGUCAGGCUCUUUUUUCCAACACCCCCCAGCCGCCGGCCCUCCCAGCCCCUGCAGCCACGCUGCUGAUCCUGGGGACCUGGCGACCUAGGACUGCGACCAGGAUCCUGGAAGGCCCCUCUGCACACCGCCAGAGAGCCGAGCCUCUGCUGGAAGGAAGAGGGGAGGCGAGACCCCACAGGACACCCCUGCAUGCUUCCCAGGAUUAAGAACCUAUUUAUGAAGCAUCUUAUUUCGUGACCGAAGCUCCCCGGUCAGUGAGACGUAAAUGGCCCCACUUCCCCCCGGCAUUCGCUUCAUCGUCUCGUUCUCCAGGGAUCAGUGGUACAGAGCCUUCAUUUUUAUUUUGACAUUUUUGCUGUAUGCAAGUUUUCACUUAUCUCGAAAGCCUAUCAGCAUAGUUAAGGGUGAGCUGCACAGCUACUGCACGGCUUCGUAUGAGGGGGAGGUCGGAUUCCACAGCCAGAGCCCAAAAGCCCGGGACACCCCCGCUCAGCAGCUCCCAGACAACGGGACCGACUGUGGCUGGGCCCCAUUUGAUCAGGACAACUUCCAGCAGCUGCUCGGCGCCCUGGACUACUCCUUCCUGUGUGCGUACGCUGUUGGCAUGUACCUGAGUGGCAUAAUAGGGGAGCGCCUGCCCAUUAGGUAUUACCUGACUUUUGGAAUGGUGGCCAGCGGUGCUUUCACUGCCCUGUUUGGGGCAGGGUAUUUCUACAACAUCCACAGUUUUGGAUUCUACGUGGUGACCCAGAUCGUCAACGGACUGGUACAGACCACCGGCUGGCCCAGCGUCGUCACCUGCCUCGGCAACUGGUUUGGCAAAGGGAGGCGAGGUUUGAUCAUGGGGGUCUGGAAUUCCCACACGUCUGUGGGCAACAUUCUGGGGUCCUUGAUCGCUGGCUACUGGGUGUCCACGUGCUGGGGCCUGUCCUUCGUCGUGCCUGGGGCCAUCGUGGCAGCCAUGGGGAUAGUGUGCUUUCUCUUUCUCAUUGAACAUCCGAAGGACGUCGCCUGCUCUUCCUCCCCGGCCACGCAUCCAAAAAGCUACGAGAACGGCACGCACAGAUUCCGGCCACAGAAGCAAGCGCUAACCGAGGAGAGGAACAAAUCUCUGGACCCAGAGAUGCAGUGCUUACUGCUGUCGGAUGGAAAGCGCUCCGGCCACCAGAACCACGUGGUCGUUCUCCCGGCAGACGGCGGCGGCGGCAUCGCGGCCAUCAGCUUCGUAGGGGCCUUGAAAAUUCCCGGCGUGAUAGAGUUCUCUCUGUGUCUCCUGUUUGCCAAGUUGGUCAGCUAUACCUUCCUCUUCUGGCUUCCACUGUACAUCACAAACGUAGAUCACCUCGAUGUCAAGAAGGCCGGGGAGCUCUCCACCUUGUUUGAUGUGGGCGGGAUCUUCGGUGGGAUCCUGGCAGGUGUGAUCUCCGAUCGACUGGAGAAGAGGGCCUCCACCUGCGGCCUCAUGCUGCUACUCGCAGCCCCGACGCUCUACGUAUUCUCUGCCAUCAGCAAAAUGGGUCUAGAAGCCACCAUCGCCAUGCUGCUCCUCAGCGGGGCCCUGGUCAGCGGGCCGUACGCACUGAUCACGACCGCCGUCUCCGCCGACCUGGGGACUCAUAAAAGUCUGAAGGGAAACUCCCACGCCCUGGCCACCGUGACCGCCAUCAUUGACGGAACUGGGUCUGUAGGUGAACUGGCGGGUCUCGUGGCGCACAAGACUCCGAGUGUUACCAGCCCCGUUAAGGAUCUUGGAGAGAAUGCAGCAGCAUAUUCCAGAGGGAAAAAGGAGCAACUCACGGCUCUGAGCUGGGCCGAUGGGAGCUGGUCAACAGCAAGCCUGUCCUGACCCGUGAGUCAGAAGGCUGACAGCAACGUCCAUGACCUUGUUGAGCCUCUUGGGAGGAGCACACAGACCGGGACCCCUCCCGCCAAGCCCCCAGAGCUGCCUGCCCCGGGCUGCUGCGUCGAGGCCUCUGUCUGAGUCAGUCCAGCGCCCACUGUGACACCCUUUUCUGAAAGCAAAUUGGGAGCUUGGCCGGCAGCCCUGAUUGCAUUUUAAAGCAGAAGAUGGGGGGUUAAAAAGAAGGAAAUUAUGAAGUAGCCUAAAGAACACAUUUCUCUUGAUCUUCUCAAAACAAGAGGGAAGCAGAAGUUCUUGGCCCAGGGUAGAGACUCUGCGUCUCUAAUUGGGGGCAGGCUCUGAGCUGCAGGAGGAACCAAAGCCCAGCUCUGGACACCUGUCACCCCUCACAGAAGGAGGGCAGAGGCUAACUCAGACCAUCCCUGGCCUCUGCACUCGCUGCAGGUCCUGCAUCCUGGGUCUGGCUGAGCCUCGGACUCCACGGGCUCUGGCAACCCCAGUGCACCAGGACAGAGGAGGUGGUCACCAUGGAAACGGCAGGCAGGCGCAUCCACCACUGUGUCUCCCCCACUGUUUCUCUGCUUAAGUGCUGCCCAAGUAGAUGGAAGCAAAGCCAGGCUCAGGCAGAGAUGCACACUGUUCCAGCAGAAGUUCUGUUCACAAGGGCGUUUACCCUGAUGUGUUUAUUAAAUGUUGUAAAUGUUGGUUCCAACGGAGACAGAGCUCGACUAAUUGUGAACAAGCUGGUGCCUUCUCUCAAUUCACCAGAGCCAGACGGUUGCAGGGACACCAGUUCACGUGUGUGGUGCGUUCACAGGGUUGAGAACCGCAUCCCGGUGGGCUGCAAGGCUGGCUGUUUCUUUAUGUUUAUGCAGGGCGAUUAAAUAGAGCCCUGAAUUUCUUCAAGUUAAUUUUUAUUUUCUCAAAGUAACACACAGUGUUACUUUAGAAACCAGAUAGUAGUCUUAGAAACGUAUUAUAAUGCAAAGUGACAGUCCCCUGCCCAUGCCCCCUCCGCCACCUCUUUCUAGAAGCCAUCGCUUUCGACCAUUCUGUCCCGUCUUCCCCACACACACAGUCACACGUUUCUUGAUCCAUCACCUUGUCUGCUGUCCUCCUGGUGAGGAAGCUGGGGCCCCUGCUCCCCACGGCCCCUCCUCUCGUCCUCCCCAGCCAUCCUGACUGCUUGACAUCGCUCACUCUUGAGCCCAGAAAUAAACUUUAACUAUUACACCCUUAAUAUGCACGUUUUUCGUUUUCCCAAAAGUAACAAACGUCCUGUUUUCCCUUUUGUUUACUUUUCUGUCUCGGCUGUUCCUUCCUCUCCAGUGUGGCCGGCAGCCUGCGAGGGGCCUUGCAGCCACGUGACUCCUGCGCUCUGCCUAGGACACGGCUCUCAUCCCAGAGCUGCUUGUACUGCCCUCCUGCAAGCCCCGUUCAUGUCUUGGCCACGGUGGACCCCUGUUUCCUAGACAUCGCGUUUACUUCUCCUCUUUGGUGGAAAACAUCUCCUAGUAGCUUCCGAGGAAUCAUUUGCAGGAGGCAGAUUUGAGAGCUCGGGAGUCUGUGGGGUCUGGGUUCAGUUCUCUCCCUUGGGUAUAGAAUUCUAGCCGAGAGUCCUUUUUCUCCAGAAUUCUAGUGUCUUCUAGCUCCCGCUGUCACCACAGAGAAGCCCGUUGUCACCCUUAGCCCAGGCCUCCACCUCUGACCUCUGGUCUUUCCUCCUGGAGGCCCCCAGGCUCACUUUACCUCUGCAGCCUCUUUGCAUCCCCCAUGCCCUGGGCACCUGGGGCCCACCCAGUCUGGAAACACAUGCCCUGCAUCCCUGGGAAAGUGUGCUGUGCUUCCUCUUUGACAAGCCUCCUCUCCUGUUCUUGUCUUCCUAGAAAACCCAUUAGCCGGAUGUUUCACUUUCUGGAUUCAUCCUUCAGUUUUCUUUUUUCCUUUUGCCUGACGAUGUCUUUGUUCUCCUCUACUUCCUCCGAGAUGUCCUCAGCUUUCCUUUCCAACUUCCGUGCUGAACUUUUCAUUUCAGGCAUCACCAUGUUAUAUUCAUUAGUGUCAUCCUGCCCUUUCAGUGCAUCCUGUUCUUCUUGGAUGCAGUGUUGUGAGAUUGAAUGCUGUGAAACUGCUGAAGCUGGAUGGUUUUCAGACACAAAAGUGGGAGUUUCGCAUGAUUCAACUCCUUUUUCUGUUAGUUCUCCGAGGGUAUGACAUUUUCCGGGGAAUGUUCUUCUCCACGGUUUCUUUAUUUCCUCCAGAUUCCCCCUCCUCCCGGCUUGUCUGCUUUCACGUUGAGGCUUUUUCCUCUACACGGGUGAACCUUGGCCAUCCCAUCAUAUAUUCAUAUUUAAGACGGAGCCACUAAGAACUCGUCAGAAGCCCUUUCUGCACGGGGCGCAUGUCAACUGCUGGUCUUUGGGGUCCAACUGGGGUCAGGAGGAGGAGACCCGCCCCCCCAGGACCCACAGGGGUGUGACCUCACGGCCAGCAUUCUUGCCACUGGGAGGCAAGGUUAAGCUUCUGCUCUCCUGGGGUGUGGGUGUGGGGGGGUGAUCACUGAGUAGUGUUGCUGAGGAGGAGAAACCUGGGAUCAGAGGGGCCGGAGGGUCGUAUCUAGCCGUUCGUUAUAGAAGAGUCUCAGCCAGAUCCCGUGUUCUCCUACCGCCCCUCCGCCCCUGCCUCGUGCACUUGGGCGGUCUGGCUCUGAGCUGGGAGUCCCCGGCCCCUUCUCGUGGGCAAGGAGAACCAUGCCAGUCACGCCCUUUAAAUUCCAUCCUCAAAAGCAGUGCCUUCUCUCAUCCACCCGCCUCCUUGUGGGUUUUCAUUUUUUUUAACUCAGUUAUGGUUCAUCCUGGGGUGUUCGGGAGGGAAGACAGAAACACGUGUGAACAAUGCACGUUGACCUGGAGUCCUUCUGUGACUUUCAAAAAACACAGUUGCUUCUCCGAUUGUAAAAGUAGUAAGCGCCCUUUGUGAACACUUAACACUAGCAUGUCUGACGUAGGAAAGACCCUCAUCAACCUCCCGCUCAGAGGUUAAAGCUCAGUCAGGAACUUGGUGGGAAUUCUCCACGCUUCUGCCUGUUCCGAGCCACUGAGCCAUCCUCCACACGUUUCAUAACUUAUUCCAGUCUCUCUUAGGAAAAUAAACAACUGCUGCAACAAACAUUCUUAAACAGAUAUUUCUGGAUAUUUUGAGGAAUAUUUGCUUUCUUUUGUUUUAUCAUUUUUUUAAAAAUUAUUUUGACAUAAUUUGAGACUUACAAAAAGGUUUCAAAAAUAGUACAAAGAAAUCACAUUUGCUUUAUCAUUCCCUCUCCCUCCCUCCCUCUCUCUGUUCUCUGUCUCUGUACGUACACACCCACACACGGGCACAUAUGCAUACACACGAGUGUAUACUUAUGAAUAUACACGUGCAUGUUUUUUCCCAAACCACUUAAGAGUACAUCGCAGACAUGCUGCCCCUUUUACCAAUAGCUAUGUAUUCAGCGUGUAUUCCCCCAAAACCAGGAAUUCCUGGUAUAGCCACAGUACAAUGAUCAGAAUCAGGAAGUUAACAGUGAUACAGUAUUAACAUCUACGAACCUUAUUCAUAUUUAACCAAAUAUUUUUAUAGCAUAAAAAUGUCUAAGGUUGUGCAUUAGGUUCUGACUGCUUUAUAAUAAUUUUUUAAUGGGAUUGUUGGGUCAAAAGAAUGGAUGUUGUGAAGUGAGGACACAUUUUUAGAUUUGCCUCCAAAAACAGCUUGGACCAAACCUGCCUUCACCAGUACAAGUACCAGGCUUUUUUAUCCCUGAUCAGUCUGACAGGUGAGCGUGAGAUUUUAGCGUUUAAUGUGGUUUUUCUUUUUUGGGGUCAUGCUCCGUGGCUUGCGGGAUCUUAGUUCCCAAACCAGGGAUCGAACCCACUUCCUGAAGUGGAAGCUUGACGUCUUAACCACUGGACCGCCAGGGAAGUCCC